rnacentral:rRNA from 1 species
GCAGCAGUAGGGAAUAUUGGUAAUCUGGGAAACCGGGAACCAGCAACGCCGCGUGCGCGAUGAAGGCCUUCGGGUUGUAAAGCGCUUUUUAAAGGGAUGAGGAAGGACAGUACCUUUAGAAUAAGCCUCGGCUAACUACGUGCCAGCAGCCGCGGUAAAACGUAGGAGGCGAGCGUUAUCCGGAUUUACUGGGCGUAAAGCGUGUGUAGGCGGUUUGAUAAGUUGGAUGUGAAAGCUCCCGGCUUAACUGGGAGAGGUCGUUCAAAACUGUCAGACUUGAGAGUGGUAGAGGGAGGUGGAAUUCCGCGUGUAGUGGUGAAAUGCGUAGAUAUGCGGAGGAACACCAGUGGCGAAAGCGGCCUCCUGGCCCAUUUCUGACGCUCAGACACGAAAGCUAAGGUAGCAAACGGGAUUAGAGACCCCGGUAGUCUUAGCUGUAAACGAUGUGAACUUAGUGUCGGUGGGGUUAAAUCCAUCGGUACUGAAGCUAACGCGAUAAGUUCACCGCCUGGGGACUACGGCCGCAAGGUUAAAACUCAAAGGAAUUGACGGGGCCCCGCACAAGCAGCGGAGCGUGUGGUUUAAUUCGAUGCUACACGAAGAACCUUACCAGGGUUUGACAUACAAGUGGUAGGAAUCCGAAAGGUGACCGACCCUUCGGGGAGCUUGCACAGGUGCUGCAUGGCUGUCGUCAGCUCGUGUCGUGAGAUGUUCGGUUAAGUCCGCUAACGAGCGCAACCCUCGCUGUGUGUUAUAUGUGUCACACGGGACUGCCGGUCUUAAGCCGGAGGAAGGUGGGGAUGAUGUCAAGUCAGCAUGGCCUUUAUAUCCUGGGCUACACACACGCUACAAUGGCCAACACAAUAGGUUGCUAAGCCGCGAGGUGGAGCCAAUCCAUAAAGUUGGUCUCAGUUCAGAUUGCAGGCUGCAACCCGCCUGCAUGAAGAUGGAGUUGCUAGUAACCGCAGGUCAGCUAUACUGCGGUGAAUACGUUCCCGGGGCUUGUACACACCGCCCGUCACGUCAUGGGAGUUGGCAACACCUGAAGCCGGUAUC